CCUACGGGCGGCAGCAGUGAGGAAUAUUGGUCAAUGGGCGCGAGCCUGAACCAGCCAAGUAGCGUGCAGGAUGACUGCCCUACGGGUUGUAAACUUCUUUUAUAAAGGAAUAAAGUGAGGCACGUGUGCCUUUUUGUAUGUACUUUAUGAAUAAGGAUCGGCUAACUCCGUGCCAGCAGCCGCGGUAAUACGGAGGAUCCGAGCGUUAUCCGGAUUUAUUGGGUUUAAGGGGAGCGUAGAUGGGUUGUUAAGUCAGUUGUGAAAGUUUGCGGCUCAACCUUAGAAUUGCAAUUGAUACUGGCAGCCUAGAGUACAGUUGAGGUAGGCGGAAUGCGUGGUGUAGCGGUGAAAUGCUUAGAUAUCACGAAGAACUCCGAUUGCGAAGGCAGCCUACUAAGCUGCCACUGACAUUGAUGCUCGAAAGUGUGGGUAUCAAACAGGAUUAGAUACCCUAGUAGUC
rnacentral:rRNA from 1 species